rnacentral:rRNA from 1 species
UACGGAGGGUCCAAGCGUUAUCCGGAAUCAUUGGGUUUAAAGGGUUCGCAGGCGGUCAAUUAAGUCAGUGGUGAAAUCUCGGGGCUCAACUCCGAAACUGCCAUUGAUACUGAUUGACUUGAAUUAAGUUGGAGUAGGCGGAAUGUGUAGUGUAGCGGUGAAAUGCUUAGAUAUUACACAGAACACCGAUAGCGAAGGCA